rnacentral:tRNA from 2 species
GCCCGGUUGGCGUAGUGGUUUAACGCGUGCACUUCAGAGGUGCAAAACCUGGGUUCGAAUCCCAGACCGGGCA